AUUGAACGCUGGCGGCAGGCCUAACACAUGCAAGUCGAGCGGAUGAAGGGAGCUUGCUCCUGGAUUCAGCGGCGGACGGGUGAGUAAUGCCUAGGAAUCUGCCUGGUAGUGGGGGAUAACGUCCGGAAACGGGCGCUAAUACCGCAUACGUCCUGAGGGGGAAGUGGGGGGUCUUUCGACCUUACGGUAUCAGGUUAGCCUAGGUCGGAUUAGCUAGUUGGUGGGGUAAAGGCCUACCAAGGCGACGAUCCGUAACUGGUCUGAGAGGAUGAUCAGUCACACUGGAACUGAGACACGGUCCAGACUCCUACGGGAGGCAGCAGUGGGGAAUAUUGGACAAUGGGCGAAAGCCUGAUCCAGCCAUGCCGCGUGUGUGAAGAAGGUCUUCGGAUUGUAAAGCACUUUAAGUUGGGAGGAAGGGCAGUAAGUUAAUACCUUGCUGUUUUGACGUUACCAACAGAAUAAGCACCGGCUAACUUCGUG
rnacentral:rRNA from 1 species